GUUGCACUGGAGAAUCUAAACUCUUUUGGAGAUGUCCCAAGGCCUAACCUGCACCUCUUCACAGCAUAGGCAAGAAAAUUCUGUCUGACCUUUCUGCCGGGAGGAGGGAAUGUUUAGGUAAAAAUGAGAAACCUAUGAAAUCAGCCACCAACAUGGCUGUGUCACUUUGGUGCUCCCACAACAACUUGAAGCAUUUUUCAUAUUAAACUUAAUAGCUGACCUGUC
rnacentral:lncRNA from 1 species